AACGAACGCUGGCGGCAGGCUUAACACAUGCAAGUCGAACGCCCCGCAAGGGGAGUGGCAGACGGGUGAGUAACGCGUGGGAACAUACCCUUUCCUGCGGAAUAGCUCCGGGAAACUGGAAUUAAUACCGCAUACGCCCUACGGGGGAAAGAUUUAUCGGGGAAGGAUUGGCCCGCGUUGGAUUAGCUAGUUGGUGGGGUAAAGGCCUACCAAGGCGACAAUCCAUAGCUGGUCUGAGAGGAUGAUCAGCCACAUUGGGACUGAGACACGGCCCAAACUCCUACGGGAGGCAGCAGUGGGGAAUAUUGGAUAAUGGGCGCAAGCCUGAUCCAGCCAUGCCGCGUGAGUGAUGAAGGCCUUAGGGUUGUAAAGCUCUUUCACCGAUGAAGAUAAUGACGGUAGUCGGAGAAGAAGCCCCGGCUAACUUCGUG
rnacentral:rRNA from 1 species